AGCGACUCUCUCUCUCUCUCUCUCUCUAUUAAGCGCUAAUGUGAUGACAGAGAGGAUUUACAUUGAAUCUCUCUCUGUCUCUUCUCUGAAUCAUCGUCUUUCGUUUUGUACUUAUUCCCCCAAAGACUUCUCUGGUUUCGUUUGGUAGUGGAAACCAGAUCAAAGGAAGAGACCUUGCCGGCCAUGGCACGUGGUACUCUUGUUGAAGGUAAUUUAGUGAGGGAGAUGAUAGGUUUCCUUCUGCUUAAAAAGCCUUCAUCAGGGUUCUGCGGAGACUUGAUCUGAGGUGGUUUUUGUUCCAAGUAGGUGGCUUCGUCUUUUUCCUUCUCUUUCGUGGAUCCUCUCGGCGGAAUUCUUUUGGUAGGCCUCAAACGAAGGACCAUCACUGACAAAAGGAAAGUGUCCUGAUUCAAAUUCCGUGUCAAGUUUCCACCGGGACUUGAGUCCGACGACUCCGAUCGUCUUCGAAGUGGUUGGUUUUGGCUUCGGCUCUAUGUAUCUCUCCUUUUGAUCAUUUCUAUCAGAAAACGUUGAAAUUGGUUUUCUUUGACGGGGCCCGACCAAGUUGCCAUCCUUUGGUUAUCUUGUUGAUAGAGGAAUAGAAACAUAGAUUUGUGGAUAAAAGGAUUAUAUUUUCACAUUGUAAUUGAUUUGGAGGAGAGGGAGCAUUACUACUGCAAUCUCCAGCAGAAUAGCUUAGGGUUUGAUUUUAUAUCUUUUUCUCCCUUGAUGCGUUCCUUUUCUCCCUUGAUGCGUGAAGCAAGGGACGACAUGAUGGAACUUGAUUUAAAUCUGGACCCUUCUGCUCUGCCAUCACCCGAUUUGGACCCCGAAUUAGGGUCGGCUGAAUUAGGAAACAUUGGAGAACGUAUUCGACAAUUCGAAGCAGUCACAGUCAGGGCUAGGCAUCGUUGGAGGUGGAGGCAGGGGAGGCUUCCACCUGAGGCAAGGGAUAUACCGGUGGAAAUGAUCUUCAGCUCCGGUAGCACGGGUGAACUGCAGAUUGGGGAGGGCAGUAUAGCUGCGGAGGAUAGAACCACAGAUAGCAAUAAAACAUGCAAAGGGAAUGCAAGUGAUUUGGUAGCCAAGGCGUUGGGGAAGAGCAACAAAUCAGAGGAGGGCAGUGGUAGUGGUAGUGGUAGUGAUAGAAGUGAUGGUGGUAGUUUCUUCGAGUGCAACAUAUGCUUAGAUAUAGCUAGGAAACCAGUCCUCACUUGUUGUGGUCACUUAUUCUGUUGGCCCUGUCUUUAUCAGUGGUUACACAUUCAUUCGGAUACGAAGGAAUGCCCUGUGUGCAAGGGAGAGGUCACGGAUAUGAACAUUACACCAAUUUACGGCCGUGGAAAUGAUACCCAUGAGCCAGAGAAGGAAGACGAGUCGGGAUUGAAGAUCCCACCAAGACCCCAUGCACGGCGGGUUGAAAGCUUUAGGCAGUGGGUUCAUACGGCCGCUCAAAUUGAGGAUUCUUACUUCACUCAGAUGAUUAGGCGACUUGGCAGUAGGUUUGAUGUGAUGAGGGAGUGGAUUCCACGUCGUCAAGAUCUUGAUGCUGCUGAUGAGAUGCCAGAUAUGCCUCCUAAUUCAUUACCCAAUCGGAUUCUAACUCCGGGAAUCCAACCACCAGAUGGACCUAAUUCAUCAUCCAAUCGAAUUCUAGCUCAAAUCCGGAGGCAGGUUUCAGGCCGAUAUUCACUUUUAGAGCGUUGCUUUGGCAGAACAGAGCCGGAGAUAAUUGAUUUAUCACAAGGCUCUAGUGGCAGCUCUGAGACAUAUGGCAGCCGGCAACUUCCACCUUUGCGAUCUUUGAGGUCACAAUCACAAAGGGCUGCUUCAAUUUCACACCUUUCCUCUGCUGAAAGACUUGUUCAGGCAUAUUUUCUUGGACGUCCCAUGGGAAGAAGCAAUACCCAAUCUCCAUUAGUUGAGGACAGAGACUCUGUUUCCAGCAUUGCUGCAGUUAUACAGUCAGAGAACCAGACAUUGGAUAACACUGCUGAAAUAGAGUCGAUGAGGUCACUUUCCUCUUCAUCCUCCAGAAGAAGAGCUGAUGCUUCUAUGGCUUCAUAUGUGGACAGUGGAAUUCCGCGUGCAACUAGACGAAGAAGGUUGAAUUGAUAUCAUUUUUCUAUAUCUAAUAAUCUUCAUUCACAGAGAAUUUCUGACAAUUUAAGGCUUCUUCCAGAAUUCAGUCAGCAUACAUAUUUACCAGCACCUGAUUCACUUUAGUUUCACAGCUAGCCAAGGUUGUGCUGAUGCUGAGAGACUAGAAAUUUGCUCUUCUCCUCAAAGGAGAGAGUAUGCUUGUUUCUAUUUGUAGACAACUCAAUUUGUACCGUAGAGGCAGGCAAAGUGUUGUACAUCCAUUUGCAAGAUUCAUACUUCAUGUAUUUGUUUAUAAUGGCAUAUUUGGUUUCCGUGGUCCAAGGACAAGUAUUUUGUGCAAAA